rnacentral:rRNA from 1 species
GACGAACGCUGGCGGCGUGCCUAAUACAUGCAAGUCGAGCGAAGUUUUUCUGGUGCUUGCACUAGAAAAACUUAGCGGCGAACGGGUGAGUAACACGUAAAGAACCUGCCUCAUAGACGGGGACAACUAUUGGAAACGAUAGCUAAUACCGGAUAACAGCAUAAAUCGCAUGAUAUAUGUUUAAAAGUUGGUUUCGGCUAACACUAUGAGAUGGCUUUGCGGUGCAUUAGCUAGUUGGUGGGGUAAAGGCCUACCAAGGCGACGAUGCAUAGCCGACCUGAGAGGGUGAUCGGCCACACUGGGACUGAGACACGGCCCAGACUCCUACGGGAGGCAGCAGUAGGGAAUCUUCCGCAAUGGGCGAAAGCCUGACGGAGCAACGCCGCGUGAGUGAAGAAGGAUUUCGGUUCGUAAAGCUCUGUUGUUAGGGAAGAAUGAUUGUAUAGUAACUAUAUACAGUAGAGACGGUACCUAACCAGAAAGCCACGGCUAACUACGUGCCAGCAGCCGCGGUAAUACGUAGGUGGCAAGCGUUGUCCGGAAUUAUUGGGCGUAAAGCGCGCGCAGGUGGUUUAAUAAGUCUGAUGUGAAAGCCCACGGCUCAACCGUGGAGGGUCAUUGGAAACUGUUAAACUUGAGUGCAGGGGAGAAAAGUGGAAUUCCUAGUGUAGCGGUGAAAUGCGUAGAGAUUAGGAGGAACACCAGUGGCGAAGGCGGCUUUUUGGCCUGUAACUGACACUGAGGCGCGAAAGCGUGGGGAGCAAACAGG